UACGAAGGGGGCUAGCGUUGCUCGGAAUCACUGGGCGUAAAGGGCGCGUAGGCGGACUUUUAAGUCAGGGGUGAAAUCCUGAGGCUCAACCUCAGAACUGCCUUUGAUACUGAGGGUCUCGAGACCGGUAGAGGUAAGUGGAACUGCGAGUGUAGAGGUGAAAUUCGUAGAUAUUCGCAAGAACACCAGUGGCGAAGGCGGCUUACUGGACCGGUUCUGACGCUGAGGCGCGAAAGCGUGGGGAGCAAACAGGG
rnacentral:rRNA from 1 species